rnacentral:lncRNA from 1 species
UCCAUUUGAAAAAGGAUUCCUGAUGUAAUUUUCACCGAAUCAUUGAAAUACCUAGAUUUUCAUUAACGAAAUCUCCCGUCCAUCAGGGUUUCCGAGUACACUUCCAAUCCAUUCCAUUCCAUUCCACCGAUUUCAUUGUCAAAUUUUCCCCAAUCUUCAGAUCUGGUCCAGAUCUUUCUAAUCCUUCUAUCGAUCGUCGUCUCAAAAAUUCAAGGAGCUGUAAUUUCAUUCUUCCCACGCAAAUCAUUGAAGAAGAUUCUUGGACCCUGGUUUUUCCUCCGAUCGGAAGAUCAGUGACAAACGAGUCUCCUACAGGUAGAUUUCAUUCCCAAGCUUUUAUCUCUUAAAAUUAUAGAUCACGAAUUUGAACUCUGAAAUUUGGAUCAGAUUAGGUUCGUGCUUUAACUAUUUUCUUCUUAAUCAAUAUUGAUUCGACAGAUACUACUGAGAAACCGAGGAGGUCCUAAAACUGUAAUUGCAAACCAUAUAUGUUUCAAAAUCGAUCUAAAAAAUCAUUUAAAAUGAGUGGAUUACUGAAUUAGCACAUGGAUUUGCUUUUGAUUUCUUUAUUGCAAAAAUUGAACACGAUCCAUUUGCAUUUUCAUAUUCAUAUUCAUUUUUCAUCAUCAAAGGUCGCCCCCGUACCAUUAAAUUCCGAAUGUUAUUUUCCCGUCUCAUUUCGGUCAUAUUUUGCAGAGCGUGUCUCGAGACAAGUCUGUUUCGUCCACAUCUCGUCCUAUUUUACGCUUUCUCACUCCUAUCCGCCCUGUUCCGCACCUCGGCGGUAACUGGAGACAGGGCCCUAUUUUUCAUUUUUUUUGUCCCCGGUCAUAUUUUGAGUGGAGGCAGAGUGAAAAAAUUAUUAAUUUUAAUUAUAUUAUAUUAGAUAUAAGAUUCUUAAGAUUAAAAAAUUAAAAAAUUAAAAAAUUAAAGUAAAAAGUUUAUCCAUUUUAAAUUUUAGGUUUAAUUUUUUAAUUAUUUUUUUUAUAAUUCAUAUUUUUUAAUUUUUUAAUUCCACGCGGGUCGUCCUGGAUCCGCCGCGUCCCGAUCACCAGGUCCGGACGGGUCUCGGGGCAGGAAAGUAGAGUACCUGACCCGCCUCGUUCUCACUCCUUGUAUGUCGGUCGGAUUCGGAUCGAAUAUGCAGGUAUCCAAAUCCGUAUAAUUAUUCGGAUAUCCGAAUCCGACCGAAUAAAAUCCGGAUUUGAAAAUCUGGAUCCGGAUAACUUUAAGGUUAGGGUUAGGGUUAUGAUUUAAUAAUUAUAAAUUAAUAAGUUAUAAUGAUUUAUAAUAUAAAUAUAAUAAUAUUAAUUUAUUAUAUAUUUAUACGGAUAUCCCUGAAAUUUUUAAAGGAAUUCGGAUUUUAACGGCGGAUAUUAUUCGAAUCGACCGAAUAAAAUUCGAAUUUCAAUUUAGGUAUCUGAAUCCGAAACCUGUAUAGUCAUAUUCGAAUGCGAAUUUUGAUAUACCAUUUACAGGUUUACCGCUAUUCCUACUUGGUAGAAUUUAAAAUAUAAUUUUUUAUAUGUUUAAUAUUUUAGUUGUUUACAAUAUUUUUUUAUUCAAAAAAAAUAAAUUAAAAAAUGCAUUCAAUAGAGAUGUCAGAUGAGUUUCAAAAAAUCUAAACAAAAAAAUAUCAGAAGAAAAACAAAGGAAUCUUCAGACAAGCAUGUAACUUUGGCUUUAAUCAAUUUAAGUAAGUAUAUUAUAUUUUUAAUAUAAAAAACUUAAAUCAGAAAUUUUCUGUCACUGCAGCAAUGAAGAAUCUGGGCUGAAGUUGGUAAAAGUGGCAUUUGUUGUGGAUUAGAGAUAUUGACAAAGGAUGAUGGCAGUAUUUAUUUUUUUAUUUUUUUAUUUUUAUUUUUUUUGAAAGGUUACCUUAGUAUUAAUGAAAAAGAGUUUAACAUUUAAGCUAAUUAAAAUUAAACUACCUAAUUUACCCUAACUCCCAUCAUCCAUGCAUGGAUGAGCAUCAAGAGGGCAUCCCAUUGGUACAAUGCCCUCUGUUCGUCCGAAGUUCUUCACUUCCUCUUGUAGCUCCUUUCAUUGAAUCCUAUUCCGACCAUGUCGAUACAGUUUCGGAGGACUACAUGCUUGACGUCCAUUGUGUUCUUCAUUCUCCGGUGGUUUCGUUAUUUCCAUACCUGGAAUAUGAUUACUCUGAACAUGGUCCACUGCAGUUCCUACGCUGGAGAUCCCGAUGUGAUUUUAUUGAGUUCGUCGGUUGCUUCUUCAAAGGUGCCCGCAGCGUCCAGGGUAACCAGCGGCCUCAAGCCCUUCCUUCAAGAUCCAUCUUGUGUAGUC